AGCGAACGCUGGCGGCAGGCCUAACACAUGCAAGUCGAACGAACCUUUCGGGGUUAGUGGCGGACGGGUGAGUAACACGUGGGAACGUGCCUUUAGGUUCGGAAUAACUCAGGGAAACUUGUGCUAAUACCGAAUGUGCCCUUCGGGGGAAAGAUUAAUCGCCUUUAGAGCGGCCCGCGUCUGAUUAGCUAGUUGGUUGAGGUAAUGGCUCACCAAGGCGACGAUCAGUAGCUGGUCUGAGAGGAUGAUCAGCCACAUUGGGACUGAGACACGGCCCAAACUCCUACGGGAGGCAGCAGUGGGGAAUCUUGCGCAAUGGGCGAAAGCCUUACGCAGCCAUGCCGCGUGAAUGAUGAAGGUCUUAGGAUUGUAAAAUUCUUUCACCGGGGACGAUAAUGACGGUACCCGGAGAAGAAGCCCCGGCUAACUUCGUG
rnacentral:rRNA from 1 species